GACGAACGCUGGCGGCGUGCUUAACACAUGCAAGUCGAACGGAAAGGCCCUGCUUUUGUGGGGUGCUCGAGUGGCGAACGGGUGAGUAACACGUGAGUAACCUGCCCUUGACUUUGGGAUAACUUCAGGAAACUGGGGCUAAUACCGGAUAGGAGCUCCUGCUGCAUGGUGGGGGUUGGAAAGUUUCGGCGGUUGGGGAUGGACUCGCGGCUUAUCAGCUUGUUGGUGGGGUAGUGGCUUACCAAGGCUUUGACGGGUAGCCGGCCUGAGAGGGUGACCGGCCACAUUGGGACUGAGAUACGGCCCAGACUCCUACGGGAGGCAGCAGUGGGGAAUAUUGCACAAUGGGCGGAAGCCUGAUGCACCGACGCCGCGUGCGGGAUGACGGCCUUCGGGUUGUAAACCGCUUUCGCCUGUCACCAAGCGUGAGUGACGGUAAUGGGUAAAGAAGCACCGGCUAACUACUUGCCACUCGCCGCCGUGAUACGUAAGGUGCGAGCGUUAUCCGGAUUUAUUGGGCGUAAAGGGCUCGUAGGUGGUUGAUCGCGUCGGAAGUGUAAUCUUGGGGCUUAACCCUGAGCGUGCUUUCGAUACGGGUUGACUUGAGGAAGGUAGGGGAGAAUGGAAUUCCUGGUGGAGCGGUGGAAUGCGCAGAUAUCAGGAGGAACACCAGUGGCGAAGGCGGUUCUCUGGGCCUUUCCUGACGCUGAGGAGCGAAAGCGUGGGGAGCGAACAGGCUUAGAUACCCUGGUAGUCCACGCUGUAAACGGUGGGUACUAGGUGUGGGGUCCAUUCCACGGGUUCCGUGCCGUAGCUAACGCUUUAAGUACCCCGCCUGGGGAGUACGGCCGCAAGGCUAAAACUCAAAGGAAUUGACGGGGCCCCGCACAAGCGGCGGAGCAUGCGGAUUAAUUCGAUGCAACGCGUAGAACCUUACCUGGGUUUGACAUGGAUCGGGAGUGCUCAGAGAUGGGUGUGCCUCUUUUGGGGUCGGUUCACAGGUGGUGCAUGGCUGUCGUCAGCUCGUGUCGUGAGAUGUUGGGUUAAGUCCCGCAACGAGCGCAACCCUUGUUCACUGUUGCCAGCACGUUAUGGUGGGGACUCAGUGGAGACCGCCGGGGUCAACUCGGAGGAAGGUGGGGAUGACGUCAAGUCAUCAUGCCCCUUAUGUCCAGGGCUUCACGCAUGCUACAAUGGCUGGUACAGAGAGUGGCGAGCCUGUGAGGGUGAGCGAAUCUCGGAAAGCCGGUCUCAGUUCGGAUUGGGGUCUGCAACUCGACCUCAUGAAGUCGGAGUCGCUAGUAAUCGCAGAUCAGCAACGCUGCGGUGAAUACGUUCCCGGGGCU
rnacentral:rRNA from 1 species